rnacentral:rRNA from 1 species
AAAUUGAAGAGUUUGAUCAUGGCUCAGAUUGAACGCUGGCGGCAGGCCUAACACAUGCAAGUCGAGCGGUAGCACAGAGGAGCUUGCUCCUCGGGUGACGAGCGGCGGACGGGUGAGUAAUGUCUGGGAAACUGCCUGAUGGAGGGGGAUAACUACUGGAAACGGUAGCUAAUACCGCAUAACGUCGCAAGACCAAAGAGGGGGACCUUCGGGCCUCUUGCCAUCAGAUGUGCCCAGAUGGGAUUAGCUAGUAGGUGGGGUAACGGCUCACCUAGGCGACG